UGAGGCCGUCUUGUUUAUUUGUGACGCUGUGGUAGUGUCCGGGUACGCCUCAACUCAUCGAGGCCCGUGAGAACCCCGCCUUUUCCUGGCGGGGUUUUGCUUUUUU
rfam:Spinacia oleracea cultivar SynViroflay scaffold86109.con0159.1, whole genome shotgun sequence.